rnacentral:lncRNA from 1 species
UUUUCUUUCUUUCUCCUGUGUUUGAGAAGAAAACAAGCUGUAACCUGAAAGCGCAAUUCUCCAGGAUGACGAAUAUGCUAGAAAUGCUGCCAGAUGCUCUGUGUGGAGACUGGAUUGCCUCUGACUCUGGACCUCGCAGCAUCUAGCACAAGUUUGUACAAACUGGAUUUAUGUAAUUGGAAUUCAGCUGAUUGAUUGAAUCUGAUGACAGGAGGAGACUCUCACAGCCACAAGGACACAUCAAGUGAGCCCAGAUCCACCUUUACAUCUCUGGAUGGACCAUGUGUGCAAAGGUCCUGAGACCUCUAGGGAAGACAGCCCUCAAGAUGCAGCUUUGAGUUGGAUGUGGGCCACACGGUCAGGCGGGCGCUUGGAGGAAAUGUCAGUUUUGGAGACUGCUCCUUAUGCAAGGAUCCCUG